AACUUAAAUAUGUUUUCAGUCC
rnacentral:miRNA from 1 species